UCCGCGGUAGCCCAGUUGGUAGAGGCGUCAGCAGUACUAUUGCCGAAAGAGCAAGUUCUUAUCCUGCCUGCGGUG